rnacentral:rRNA from 1 species
ACUCAAAUGAAUUGACGGGGACCCGCACAAGCGGUGGAGCAUGUGGUUUAAUUCGACGCAACGCGAAGAACCUUACCUAGUCUAGAAUGCUCCUGACAGCCCUAGAGAUAGGGUUUCUUGGGUAAAACCAAGCAGGAUGCAAGGUGCUGCAUGGCUGUCGUCAGCUCGUGUCGUGAGAUGUUGGGUUAAGUCCCGCAACGAGCGCAACCCUUAUCAACAGUUGCCAUCGGGUAAUGCCGGGAACUCUGUUGAGACUGCCGUUGAUAAAACGGAGGAAGGUGGGGAUGACGUCAAGUCCUCAUGGCCUUUAUGACUAGGGCUACACACGUGCUACAAUGGCCGGUACAAAACGCUGCAAACUCGCAAGAGUGAGCCAAUCGUAAAAAGCCGGUCUCAGUUCGGAUUGGAGUCUGCAACUCGACUCCAUGAAGUUGGAAUCGCUAGUAAUCGCAGAUCAGCACGCUGCGGUGAAUACGUUCCCGGGUCUUGUACACACCGCCCGU